rnacentral:rRNA from 1 species
GAUGAACGCUGGCGGCGUGCCUAAUACAUGCAAGUCGAGCGAACAGACGAGGAGCUUGCUCCUUUGACGUUAGCGGCGGACGGGUGAGUAACACGUGGGUAACCUACCUAUAAGACUGGGAUAACUUCGGGAAACCGGAGCUAAUACCGGAUAAUAUUUCGAACCGCAUGGUUCGAUAGUGAAAGAUGGCUCUGCUAUCACUUAUAGAUGGACCUGCGCCGUAUUAGCUAGUUGGUAAGGUAACGGCUUACCAAGGCAACGAUACGUAGCCGACCUGAGAGGGUGAUCGGCCACACUGGAACUGAGACACGGUCCAGACUCCUACGGGAGGCAGCAGUAGGGAAUCUUCCGCAAUGGGCGAAAGCCUGACGGAGCAACGCCGCGGGAGUGAUGAAGGUCUUCGGAUCGUAAAACGCUGUUAUUAGGGAAGAACAAACGUGUAAGUAACUGUGCACGUCUUGACGGUACCUAAUCAGAAAGCCACGGCUAACUACGU